CUUUCUUCUUCAAGAGUUGACAAAAUGGAUCAAAUCAGGAUACUUUCAGUAUGUGGGAGGUUUAUGCUAUAUGGGUGUCAGUAAUACAUGAUGUAUUUUGGCGUGUUUGAGGAGCAUGGUCCGCGGUGGUGUUUUUUAACUAGACAUGUCAUGGAAUCGAUGGUGUCAUUAUGUUUGCUGUGAUUUAUUGCGAAGAAAAGAGAUUGAGAUUGUCCAAGCUUGAUGGAUCUCUUGCUUGCUUUUUUGAAAAGAACUGGA